UGGGGAAUAUUGCACAAUGGGCGCAAGCCUGAUGCAGCCAUGCCGCGUGUGUGAAGAAGGCCUUCGGGUUGUAAAGCACUUUCAGCGAGGAGGAAGGUGGUGAGCUUAAUACGCUCAUCAAUUGACGUUACUCGCAGAAGAAGCACCGGCUAACUCCGUGCCAGCAGCCGCGGUAAUACGGAGGGUGCAAGCGUUAAUCGGAAUUACUGGGCGUAAAGCGCACGCAGGCGGUUUGUUAAGUCAGAUGUGAAAUCCCCGGGCUCAACCUGGGAACUGCAUUUGAAACUGGCAAGCUAGAGUCUCGUAGAGGGGGGUAGAAUUCCAGGUGUAGCGGUGAAAUGCGUAGAGAUCUGGAGGAAUACCGGUGGCGAAGGCGGCCCCCUGGACGAAGACUGACGCUCAGGUGCGAAAAGCGUGGGGAGCAAAACAGAUUAGAUACCCUGGUAGUCCACGCUGUAAAACGAUGUCGAUUUUGGAGGUUGUG
rnacentral:rRNA from 1 species